ACGAGGGGAACUGAAACAUCUUAGUACCCGGAGGAAGAGAAAGAAAAAUCGAUUCCCUGAGUAGCGGCGAGCGAAACGGGAAGAGCCCAAACCAACAAGCUUGCUUGUUGGGGUUGUAGGACACUCUAUACGGAGUUACAAAAGAACAUGGUAGACGAAUCAUCUGGAAAGAUGAAUCAAAGAAGGUAAUAAUCCUGUAGUCGAAAACAUAUUCUCUCUUGAGUGGAUCCUGAGUACGACGGAGCACGUGAAAUUCCGUCGGAAUCUAGGAGGACCAUCUCCUAAGGCUAAAUACUCUCUAGUGACCGAUAGUGAACCAGUACCGUGAGGGAAAGGUGAAAAGUACCCCGGAAGGGGAGUGAAAGAGAACUUGAAACCGUGUGCUUACAAGUAGUCAGAGCCCGUUUAUGGGUGAUGGCGUGCCUUUUGUAGAAUGAACCGGCGAGUUACGAUCUGAUGCAAGGUUAAGCAGCGAAUGUGGAGCCGUAGCGAAAGCGAGUCUGAAUAGGGCGUUGAGUAU
rnacentral:rRNA from 1 species